rnacentral:rRNA from 1 species
AUACGGAGGGUGCAAGCGUUAAUCGGAAUUACUGGGCGUAAAGCGUACGUAGGCGGUUUAUUAAGUCAGAUGUGAAAGCCCCGGGCUUAACCUGGGAACUGCAUUUGAAACUAGUAGACUAGAGUAUGGUAGAGGGGGGUAGAAUUCCUAGUGUAGCGGUGAAAUGCGUAGAUAUUAGGAGGAAUACCAGUGGCGAAGGCGGCCCGCUGGACCAAUACUGACACUGAGGUACGAAAGCGUGGGUAGCGAACAGGAUUAGAAACCCGGGUAGUCC